AAAUAUACCCCUUUUCAUAAGAAAAUCUACAAAGAGUAUUUAUAAGAAAUUGGUGCAUGGCUGUGCUUCAACUCCUCAGUGCAUGAUAUGAAAGAAAAUCAGAUGAGGUUGCAAGAAAUAAAUUUUGUGUUAGACAUCAGAGACCAUUUCUUGACAGGAAAAGUUGUUUGUGAUGUGUGCAGCAUGAUUGACAACUCAUAUUAAACUGUAUAUGGAAGCACAAACAUUGAAGAAUAGCCAAACAUUCUUGAAGAAAAGAAACAAAUGGAGAGAACUUGUCCUUCAAAUAUCAUUUACUAUAAUAAAGCUGUAGUAAUUAAGAAGGCAUGGUUUUGGCACAGGGAUAAGCACUCAAACCAAUGAGAGAAAAUGGAAUUCUAAAAUAUGAAAAUUAUUCAAACGGGGCUGGCAUUCCUGAUUGAUGGAAAGCACAGACUAGUCAAUUAAUGCAAUAGUUGGUCAUUCAUAUGAGGAAAAAAUGAAAUUAGGUUAGCUUAUACCAUACAAAAUUCAAUCACAAAUGGAUUAAAAACCUAUAAACAAACAAAAAACUCUAUUAAAUAUUUAGAAGACACUAUGUGAGAAUAUUUUUAAAACUUGAGAUAAAUGAUUCCUUAAGGUACAAAACAGCAAAAAAUGACAACCUUUAUUAUAUAAAAAUUAAUUUGUGUUUUCCAGAAUCACAAAAAAGAAAAAAAGCAAGGUAAAAAUAGAGAAAAGAUAUUAGCAACAAAAAUUAGAUAAAAUACUAGUAUUUGGAGUAUCAAAUGGAUUCUGAGAAUCAAAGAGAAAAAAAUCAGUUUAAUAUAAUGAUAGAUAAGAGGAAUAAAUAGGAAUUUCAUAUGAGAGGAAGCACAAAUCUCAUAUAAACAUGUGAACAAGCCUUUAACAUCAUUAGUAGCCAGGGAAAAACAAGACCACACCCCAAAAAUUAAGAACAUAGACCAUUUCAUUCUCAUAAGAUGGUCAAUAGUCAAAAUUGUGCCAAAUAUAGAGCAAGGGAAGCUCCAGUCUCCUACUGGUGGGAGAGUAAAUUGAUACAAUCAUUUUGGAAAACAGUUUGACAUUACCUGCUACAGCUGAAAACAAACAUGUUCUAUAAACCAGGAAUUCUACCGUUAGAUAUUUAAUCCAUAAAAACUCAAAAGACAAAUGCACAAAGUUUACAGUUUUGUUUGUUUAAACAAAAAGAAAAAAAGGAAAACUGAAGCAAGUCAAAUGUUCUUCAGAAGUAGAAAGAACAUUUAAAUUGAAACAAAAUUUCACAAUGAACUGUGAUAGGGCAUUGAGUGAAUUACUACAGAGGAGGGGUGGGUAAACCAAAACCUACAGAGCAGUCAAAUGUUUUUAUAAAUAAAGUUUUAUUGGAGCACAAUCA